rnacentral:rRNA from 1 species
UUGAGCGAUUUACUUCGGUAAAGAGCGGCGGACGGGUGAGUAACGCGUGGGUAACCUACCCUGUACACACGGAUAACAUACCGAAAGGUAUGCUAAUACGGGAUAACAUAUUUGAGAGGCAUCUCUUAAAUAUCAAAGGUGAGCCAGUACAGGAUGGACCCGCGUCUGAUUAGCUAGUUGGUAAGGUAACGGCUUACCAAGGCGACGAUCAGUAGCCGACCUGAGAGGGUGAUCGGCCACAUUGGAACUGAGACACGGUCCAAACUCCUACGGGAGGCAGCAGUGGGGAAUAUUGCACAAUGGGCGAAAGCCUGAUGCAGCAACGCCGCGUGAGUGAUGAAGGCCUUCGGG